rnacentral:rRNA from 1 species
AGGACGAACGCUGGCGGCGUGCUUAACACAUGCAAGUCGAGCGGAAAGGCCCUUCGGGGUACUCGAGCGGCGAACGGGUGAGUAACACGUGAGGAACCUGCCCUGGACUUUGGGAUAACCCUCGGAAACGGGGGCUAAUACCGAAUAUGACUGCCGGCCGCAUGGUUGGUGGUGGAAAGUUUUUCGGUCUGGGAUGGUCUCGCGGCCUAUCAGCUUGUUGGUGGGGUAAUGGCCUACCAAGGCGACGACGGGUA